GAUGAACGCUGGCGGCGUGCCUAAUACAUGCAAGUCGAGCGAACGGACGAGGAGCUUGCUUCUCUGAUGUUAGCGGCGGACGGGUGAGUAACACGUGGAUAACCUACCUAUAAGACUGGGAUAACUUCGGGAAACCGGAGCUAAUACCGGAUGAUAUUUUGAACCGCAUGGUUCAAUAGUGAAAGACGGUCUUGCUGUCACUUAUAGAUGGAUCCGCGCUGCAUUAGCUAGUUGGUAAGGUAACGGCUUACCAAGGCAACGAUGCAUAGCCGACCUGAGAGGGUGAUCGGCCACACUGGAACUGAGACACGGUCCAGACUCCUACGGGAGGCAGCAGUAGGGAAUCUUCCGCAAUGGGCGAAAGCCUGACGGAGCAACGCCGCGUGAGUGAUGAAGGUCUUCGGAUCGUAAAACUCUGUUAUUAGGGAAGAACAUAUGUGUAAGUAACUGUGCACAUCUUGACGGUACCUAAUCAGAAAGCCACGGCUAACUACGUG
rnacentral:rRNA from 1 species